rfam:Hordeum vulgare subsp. vulgare, WGS project CAJW01000000 data, contig: morex_contig_62752
CAUUUACUUCCUCCGUCUCAAAAUUCUUGUCUUAGGUUGUCUAGAAAUGGAUGCAUCUAAAUACUAAAACAUGACUAGAUACAUUCAUAUCUAGACAAAUCUAAGAGAAGAAUUUUGGGACAGAGGGAGAAUUUU